rnacentral:rRNA from 1 species
CCCUUAGAUGUUCUGGGCUGCACGCGCGCUACACUGAAGCGUUCAACGAGUAUUCACCUUGCCCGGGAGGGUUGGGUAAUCUUUUGAAAACGCUUCGUGAUGGGGCUAGAUUAUUGCAACUAUUAAUCUUCAACGAGGAAUGCCUAGUAAGCGCGAAUCAUCAGUUCGCGUUGAUUACGUCCCUGCCCUUUGUACACACCGCCCGUCGCUCCUACCGAUUGAAUGGUCCGGUGAAAAUUUCGGAUAGUGGCGAUGCUGGCGGUUCGCCGCCGGCGCUGCCGCUAGAAGAUCUUUAAACCUUAUCAUUUAGAGGAAGGAGAAGUCGUANCA